GGCAGGGUGGCUUAGUGAUUAGCAUGUUUGCUUCACAACUCCAGGAUUGCAGGUUCAAUUCCCGCCUCUGCCC